AACGAACGCUGGCGGCAUGCCUAACACAUGCAAGUCGAACGAGACCUUCGGGUCUAGUUGCGCACGGGUGCGUAACGCGUGGGAACCUGCCCUUAGGUUCGGAAUAACUCCCCGAAAGGGGUGCUAAUACCGGAUAAUGUCUUCGGACCAAAGAUUUAUCGCCGUUGGAUGGGCCCGCGUUGGAUUAGCUAGUUGGUAGGGUAAAAGCCUACCAAGGCGACGAUCCAUAGCUGGUCUGAGAGGAUGAUCAGCCACACUGGGACUGAGACACGGCCCAGACUCCUACGGGAAGCAGCAGUGGGGAAUAUUGGACAAUGGGCGAAAGCCUGAUACAGCAAUGCCGCGUGAGUGAUGAAGGCCUUAGGGUUGUAAAGCUCUUUUACCCGGGAUGAUAAUGACAGUACCGGGAGAAUAAGCUCCGGCUAACUCCGUG
rnacentral:rRNA from 1 species